GACAGAGGGGGCAAGCGUUGCUCGGAAUUACUGGGCGUAAAGGGCGCGUAGGCGGGAUGGCAAGUCGGUCGUGAAAUCCCUCGGCUCAACCGAGGAACGUCGAUCGAUACUGCUGUUCUUGAGGAUUGCAGAGGAGACUGGAAUUCCCGGUGUAGCGGUGAAAUGUGUAGAGAUCGGGAGGAACACCUGUGGCGAAGGCGGCCCCCUGGGCCGGCCCUGACACUGAGACGCGAAGGCGUGGGGAGCGAACGGG
rnacentral:rRNA from 1 species